UGGAUCCAGACUUUGAUCCUGGCUCAGGACGAACGCUGGCGGCGUGCUUAACACAUGCAAGUCGAACGGGGUGUUUAUUUCGGUAAACACCAAGUGGCGAACGGGUGAGUAACGCGUAAGCAAUCUACCUUCAAGAUGGGGACAACACUUCGAAAGGGGUGCUAAUACCGAAUGAAUGUAAGAGUAUCGCAUGAGACACUUACUAAAGGAGGCCUCUGAAAAUGCUUCCGCUUGAAGAUGAGCUUGCGUCUGAUUAGCUAGUUGGUGAGGGUAAAGGCCCACCAAGGCGACGAUCAGUAGCCGGUCUGAGAGGAUGAACGGCCACAUUGGGACUGAGACACGGCCCAGACUCCUACGGGAGGCAGCAGUGGGGAAUCUUCCGCAAUGGGCGAAAGCCUGACGGAGCAACGCCGCGUGAACGAUGAAGGUCUUAGGAUCGUAAAGUUCUGUUGUUAGAGACGAAGGGUAAGGAUCAUAAUAAGGUUUUUAUUUGACGGUACCUAACGAGGAAGCCACGGCUAACUACGUGCCAGCAGCCGCGGUAAUACGUAGGCGGCAAGCGUUGUCCGGAAUUAUUGGGCGUAAAGGGAGCGCAGGCGGGAAACUAAGCGGAUCUUAAAAGUGCGGGGCUCAACCCCGUGAUGGGGUCCGAACUGGUUUUCUUGAGUGCAGGAGAGGAAAGCGGAAUUCCCAGUGUAGCGGUGAAAUGCGUAGAUAUUGGGAAGAACACCAGUGGCGAAGGCGGCUUUCUGGACUGUAGCUGACGCUGAGGCUCGAAAGCUAGGGUAGCGAACGGGAUUAGAUACCCCGGUAGUCCUAGCCGUAAACGAUGGAUACUAGGUGUGGGAGGUAUCGACUCCUUCCGUGCCGGAGUUAACGCAAUAAGUAUCCCGCCUGGGGAGUACGGCCGCAAGGUUGCAACUCAAAUGAAUUGACGGA
rnacentral:rRNA from 1 species